rnacentral:rRNA from 1 species
UGGGGAAUAUUGCACAAUGGACGGAAGUCUGAUGCAGCGACGCCGCGUGGGGGAUGAAGGCUUUCGGGUUGUAAACUCCUUUCAGUACAGAAGAAGCUUUAUUGUGACGGUAUGUGCAGAAGAAGCGCCGGCUAACUACGUGCCAGCAGCCGCGGUAAUACGUAGGGCGCGAGCGUUGUCCGGAAUUAUUGGGCGUAAAGAGCUUGUAGGCGGUUCGUCGCGUCUGGUGUGAAAGCCCAUCGCUUAACGGUGGGUUUGCGCCGGGUACGGGCGGGCUAGAGUGCAGUAGGGGAGACUGGAAUUCCCGGUGUAACGGUGGAAUGUGUAGAUAUCGGGAAGAACACCAAUGGCGAAGGCAGGUCUCUGGGCUGUUACUGACGCUGAGAAGCGAAAGCGUGGGGAGCGAACAGG